rnacentral:rRNA from 1 species
GAGACUGCAAGCGUUAUUCGGAUUCACUGGGCGUAAAGGGUGCGCAGGCGGCCAAGUGUGUUAGGCGUGAAAGCCCGGGGCUUAACCCCGGAAUUGCACCUAAAACUACAUGGCUAGAGCAUUGGAGAGGGUAGCGGAAUUCACGGUGUAGCAGUGAAAUGCGUAGAUAUCGUGAGGAACACCAGAGGCGAAGGCGGCUACCUGGACAAUUGCUGACGCUCAGGCACGAAAGCGUGGGGAGCAAAAGGGAUUAGAUACCCCUGUAGUCCACGCCCUAAACGGUGCACACUAGGUCUUGGCGGAUUCGACCCCACCAGGGCCCAAGCUAACGCGUUAAGUGUGCCGCCUGAGGACUACGGUCGCAAGACUA